UGAUUAUCCUCGUCGCCAGUUGUUGUGU
rnacentral:sRNA from 1 species